AUGAACGCUGGCGGCGUGCCUAAUACCUGCAAGUCGAGCGAACGGACGAGAAGCUUGCUUCUCUGAUGUUAGCGGCGGACGGGUGAGUAACACGUGGAUAACCUACCUAUAAGACUGGGAUAACUUCGGGAAACCGUAGCUAAUACCGGAUAAUAUUUUGAACCGCAUGGUUCAAAAGUGAAAGACGGUCUUGCUGUCACUUAUAGAUGGAUCCGCGCUGCAUUAGCUAGUUGGUAAGGUAACGGCUUACCAAGGCAACGAUGUAUAGCCGACCUGAGAGGGUGAUCGGCCACACUGGAACUGAGACACGGUCCAGACUCCUACGGGAGGCAGCAGUAGGGAAUCUUCCGCAAUGGGCGAAAGCCUGACGGAGCAACGCCGCGUGAGUGAUGAAGGUCUUCGGAUCGUAAAACUCUGUUAUUAGGGAAGAACAUAUGUGUAAGUAACUGUGCACAUCUUGACGGUACCUAAUCAGAAAGCCACGGCUAACUACGUG
rnacentral:rRNA from 1 species